GAGGGCUGCAAGCUAGCGAUAGUGAGCGAAUCCCAAAAAGCGCGUCGUAGUCCGGAUUGGAGUCUGCAACUCGACUCCAUGAAGUCGGAAUCGCUAGUAAUCGCAAAUCAGAAUGUUGCGGUGAAUACGUUCCCGGGCCUUGUACACACCGCCCGUCACACCAUGGGAGUGGGUUGCACCAGAAGUAGAUAGCUUAACCUUCGGGAGGGCGUUUACCACGGUGUGAUUCAUGACUGGGGUGAAGUCGUAACAAGGUAACCCUAGGGGAACCUGGGGUUGGAUCACCUCCUUA
rnacentral:rRNA from 1 species